rnacentral:rRNA from 1 species
AGGAUGAACGCUGGCGGCGUGCCUAACACAUGCAAGUCGAACGUCCUGUCUCGCAAGAGGCAGGGAGUGGCGGACGGGUGAGUACCACGUGGGUUAUCUACCGUGAGGUGAGGAAUACCGGCGAGAAAUCGCCGACAAGACCGCAUAGCCUCGGUGCAAGCCGAGGAAAGCUUUCUCGAGAGAGGGAGCGCCACACGAGGAGCCUGCGCCCGAUUAGCUAGCUGGUGGAGUAACGGUUCACCAGGGCGACGAUCGGUAGCUGGUCUGAGAGGACGAUCAGCCACACUGGGAUUGAGAACGGCCCAGACUCCUACGGGGGGCAGCAGUGAGGAAUUUUCGUCAAGUGGGGCAACCCUGAACGAGCAACGCCGCGUGCAGGAAGAAGGUUUUCGGAUCGUAAACUGCUUUUCGUCGGGGAAGAGAACGGACGGUACCCGAGGAACUCAGCCCCGGCUAACUACGUGCCAGCAGCCGCGGUAA